rnacentral:lncRNA from 1 species
GGCCGGCCUCUUUAGAGAGAAAUGGAGAGACAAGUUCUCACCAAUUUUCUCCAAAACAAAAACCCUAAUGAAUUUUAGGCUAUAAAGUCAUAUUUAUACCUUUAUUCAUUUGAGUGGUAAACUUGUAAAUAAGUCCAAGUUCACUACCCUUAGCAUCAUGGCCGGCCCUAGGGUAUUUUUGGGCUAGUUAGGCCUUUGUGAAUCAUUAUUCAUUAAGUUGUCAUACAACUUAAGUC